rnacentral:rRNA from 1 species
GGUGAGUAACACGUGAGUAACCUGCCCCCGAGAGCGGGAUAGCCCUGGGAAACUGGGAUUAAUACCGCAUAGUAUCGAAAGAUUAAAGCAGCAAUGCGCUUGGGGAUGGGCUCGCGGCCUAUUAGUUAGUUGGUGAGGUAACGGCUCACCAAGGCGAUGACGGGUAGCCGGUCUGAGAGGAUGUCCGGCCACACUGGAACUGAGACACGGUCCAGACACCUACGGGUGGCAGCAGUCGAGAAUCAUUCACAAUGGGGGAAACCCUGAUGGUGCGACGCCGCGUGGGGGAAUGAAGGUCUUCGGAUUGUAAACCCCUGUCAUGUGGGAGCAAAUUAAAAAGAUAGUACCACAAGAGGAAGAGACGGCUAACUCUGUGCCAGCAGCCGCGGUAAUACAGAGGUCUCAAGCGUUGUUCGGAAUCACUGGGCGUAAAGCGUGCGUAGGCUGUUUCGUAAGUCGUGUGUGAAAGGCGCGGGCUCAACCCGCGGACGGCACAUGAUACUGCGAGACUAGAGUAAUGGAGGGGGAACCGGAAUUCUCGGUGUAGCAGUGAAAUGCGUAGAUAUCGAGAGGAACACUCGUGGCGAAGGCGGGUUCCUGGACAUUAACUGACGCUGAGGCACGAAGGCCAGGGGAGCGAAAGGGAUUAGAUACCCCUGUAGUCCUGGCAGUAAACGGUGCACGCUUGGUGUGCG